UACGGGGGGGGCAAGCGUUGUUCGGAAUUACUGGGCGUAAAGGGCUCGUAGGUGGCCAACUAAGUCAGACGUGAAAUCCCUCAGCUUAACUGGGGAACUGCGUCUGAUACUGGAUGGCUUGAGUUUGGGAGAGGGAUGCGGAAUUCCAGGUGUAGCGGUGAAAUGCGCAGAUAUUAGGAGGAACACCGGUGGCGAAGGCGCCACUCUGGGCCGAAACUGACGCUGAGGAGCGAAAGCGUGGGUAGCAAACAGG
rnacentral:rRNA from 1 species